AGAGUUUGAUCAUGGCUCAGGAUGAACGCUAGCUACAGGCUUAACACAUGCAAGUCGAGGGGAAACGACAUCGAAAGCUUGCUUUUGAUGGGCGUCGACCGGCGCACGGGUGAGUAACGCGUAUCCAACCUGCCCAUCACUUGGGGAUAACCUUGCGAAAGUAAGACUAAUACCCAAUGAUAUCUCUAGAAGACAUCUGAAAGAGAUUAAAGAUUUAUCGGUGAUGGAUGGGGAUGCGUCUGAUUAGCUUGUUGGCGGGGUAACGGCCACAAGGCUACGAUCAGUAGGGUUCUGAGAGGAAGGUCCCCCANAUUGGAACUGAGACCACGGUCCAAACGUCCUACGGGAGGCA
rnacentral:rRNA from 1 species